CCCAGGAUGCGUUUUCCCCAGGAAAAUAUUAACCAUACCAGAGCAAUGGUUAAUAUUAUAAAUUGAACAAAGAUCAGAAAAGAACUACAAGGGAGUCGUCCAGUAUGAUCAAGUGUUCCCUGUGGGAGACUUCUACCCUAAGGUCCUAGACCUAGGAAUUCAGCAAUCCUGCCAGAAGGUGUUGAACUUGCAGGCUACGGACACAAAAUCUUGGCCAGCACUCUCUCUAGUGGUGAACCAAAGAACUACCCCUCUGCAUUUCCUAAACUGCAUGAAAAUGAAUAAGAAGGUAUAUAUGAAGACACCCAGUGCAUGCAUUUAAUAAUUGUCAAAUCUGAGGAAGAAUAAAUAUUGGCACCAAUGACUCUGAACAAUGUCUCUCUGAGUUUCCAGUGAGUCAUGUGAUGUGAGACAAUGGAGAUAAACUGAGUUGUGUGUCUUCCCAUAAAAUUAAUGGAGUUAUUGUUAUUCAGAAAAACUUGGGUUUCAGAAGCUGGAGUGUGGAGGAGAACCAUUGGUGUCUGGUAAGACCUGUCUUUCUGGCCCUUUCUCUGAAUGCACAGAGCAAAAGAGGGCUCUGCUGUCUUUUACUCUUUUUAUAAGGACACCAGGGAUAUUGGA